UUAGUCGAUGUUAAAGGGGGGGGGCGGGGGGGAAGCUCCUAGCGGCCAUUUUAAUUAAUCACGUAUAAGUAGAAUAAUGCUGAUUAUAGUUAGAUGAGUAAAUAGACAUUUUACUAGCUAAAAAUUAGGUUAAUAUCUUAUUUCCACAACAGUGAUCCUAAGGGAAUUGACUUUAUUGGGAUAGAUAAAAUUCAGGUUCACUGGAGAGGAGGUGAUAGUAACCAUAUUUUGGGUUUAAGAGAAAUGAGGUGGAUGUUUGAAUUGGAUACAUUAAUACCACAGGGUUUAAAUGUUGACUUUGAGAUUAAUCAGUAUGUAUAACAACAAUGUUUAUUUGCUUCCCCUCUUUUCCUUCUUAUCACUAAUUUAUAUUUUACACUUAUUCUUUAUUUUUUAUUAUUUUUUAGAAAAUGC